rnacentral:rRNA from 1 species
UUGUUAUAGAGAUGAGUAAAAACUACAAGUUUCCGUAGGUGAACCCUCGGAAGGGAUCAUUAGAUUGGAAUUAUCAAUGAUGCUCGAGUUCUUAUUUAGAUCCUUUACAAUACAUGUGUUUUCCUUAGUUGAGGAUGUGCGCAUGUAUUACGGCGAGCUUUCUAGAGGGUCGUCACAAAGUAGUCUUCGUUGACAGUCUAAUCAUCCCUUCACCACAAUGGAGGUCACGCCUUUUUGAAGUUAAAAAGCGUAACAAGGUUUCCGUAGGUGAACCUGCGGAAGGAUCAUUACUGAUUUGUUUAAUUGCACCACAUGUGUUUUUUAUUGAACAAAUUUUUUGGGUGGCGGGAGCAAUCCUACCGCCAGAGGUUAUAAUUAAACCAAACUUUUUAUUUACAGUCAAACUUGAUUUAUUAUUACAAUAGUCAAAACUUUCAACAACGGAUCUCUUGGUUCUCGCAUCGAUGAAGAACGCAGCGAAAUGCGAUACGUAAUAUGAAUUGCAGAUAUUCGUGAAUCAUCGAAUCUUUGAACGCCCAUUGCGCCCUUUGGUAUUCCAAAGGGCAUGCCUGUUUGAGCGUCAUUUCUCCCUCAAACCCCCGGGUUUGGUGUUGAGCAAUACGCUAGGUUUGUUUGAAAGAAUUUACGUGGAAACUUAUUUUAAGCGACUUAGGUUUAUCCAAAAACGCUUAUUUUGCUAGUGGCCACCACAAUGCUUUCAUACCUAGAAGCAAGACAUCAAGUACUAAUUUUA